rnacentral:rRNA from 1 species
CUGCUGCCUUCCGUAGGAGUUUGGGCCGUGUCUCAGUCCCAAUGUGGCCGUCCACCCUCUCAGGCCGGCUACUGAUCGCUGCCUUGGUGGGCCGUUACCCCGCCAACUAGCUAAUCAGACGCGGAUCCAUCGUAUACCACCGGAGUCUUUCACACUGCCCCAUGCGGAGCCGUGCGCUUAUGCGGUAUUAGCACCUAUUUCUAAGUGUUAUCCCCCGGUAUACGGCAGGUUAUCCACGCGUUACUCACCCGUCCG